CUCACUCUUUCCAUUAGCUCCCUCUCUUUCGUUUCAUUUCACGAAAACUCUCGGUCUCGCUCUCUUUGAUUGCUAUAUCUUUCUGUUUCUCUCCAUCGAUCUCUCUCUUGCUCAAUCAACAACAACCUUCGGUCUCCCUAUGUUCUCAUCGUUCUCCAUGAUUCAAACAGUAAAAACCAGAAACAUUCUCAUGUCAUCAAAACCCUAGAGUUUCAAAAUUAGAUUAAAUAGCAAUGGAGUGCAAGUUCAAUCGAAUAUCAUGGGGGCUAUUACCGAUCAAGUCUCGAGGAACACAGUGGUAUUUUAAAAAAAAAAAGCGAAGAAGGAGAUCUUACACGGUCGGAGCUUGUCCGACGAGACUUCCUUUUUCGGCGGUGGUUCAGUAACUCGGGUCUGGUUCAUUGCAGGUGAGGUGAUGAAGCAGCUGAGUUCAAUGGCUCAUUGAUUCAUUUAAUUGAUGCUGCAGCUUUUUCAAAUGGAAUACGAUACUGCAAAGAUCAAGCGUUUUUGUUUGAUCUAGACUCAAACGACCGAAGGUCUAGAAUUCGAUCCGAGCCAAGUGGGUGCAUAUAAGGCGGCAAAACCAUUCUAGUGUGCCUAUGUUUUUUGUUCACAAGACACAAACAUGAGACUGUGCUUAAGAAAAACCAUGCUCAUUGCCAAUUGGAUGCACAUAAGUUAUAAACUUUGAACACACCAAGAAUUGGCCUAUGGUUGUUGUGUUACAUUUCGUGAUUUCAAAAUACUAACCAUUCCAUGUGUUUAUUUGCAUAUUCAAAAUGUUAUGACCAUAUUAAUGCUCUCAUUCAUUUACCAGCAUGACAGAUGAUCGGGUCCUUAAAGCACGUGGUCAUGGGUUCGACCCCGGACUAAUGCAUAUGGAAGAACACUGUUGUGAGAGGUCAGCCCCUUAAAUAAUCUCCAUACUUCAAACGACGAGUCUUUAGGUCACUCGCUCAUUCAGUUUCGAGGAGACUGUAGAUAGCAAGAAACAAAAAUAGAAUUAAAAAGCAUAUAUGUCUAAUUGGUUUUCUGAAGUUACAAAUAAAAUGAAACAAAAUAUGUCAGAGUAAGAAAAACUACCAUAAUGACAGAAUUGGUAAUUAGAAGUAGUGAAAUUGUGAUGAUUGGUUAUUACUUUGAUUUCAGUGCAUUAUGAUGUGUGUUAUGUACAUAGAUAAGUAAAAGAUUGAUGAAUGAUCUAAGCUUUGAGUCCAAUUAUUGAUAAGUGAUUUACGGGCUGAUGAUGAUAUGAUAAGUGAUGAUGAUAUGAUUAGUUUAUUAUCUUUAGGGUCAUCUUUGUUAGGGUCUUAUGUGAGAAAGGGGGCUGGCAUUUUAUUUGAGCACUUAGCAUCCACACCUGCUUGGAUAUGAUACCUAAUUUUCCAAAGUUCACUUCUUAAAUAUAUGUAAUUUAGACUUCUCUUCUAGCACUUUACGUAGUAAUUUCUUGAUUAUCUUUAUCGAGUCUUUUGCUCAUGGGCUUUUUCACAUUUGGUUGAUUGAUAUUGGUAAUGAUUACUUUGAUAGCAGGAUGUCAAUAGUAGCAAACCUUCUCAUCAAAAUAUGGUGGAAGCAAUUGAUUCUCUUUAUGCUACUUGUUUCAAUUGAUAUUAUGAUUUAGGCUAUAUAUCUUCAUUUUGUUUAUUUUUCUAUGAUAUUAUUAUUCAGUUUGUUUAAUCCACCAAGAUUCCUUUUCCAAAUCUAUAGGAAAGAUGAAUUGUGAAUUCCAAUUCCAACCCACACUUCAACUAGGUUACUCAGUGAGAAUAAUAAAAACUAAGAAAUUUUCAAGGUAAAUGGUUAUAUUAUAUUUUUUUAAUCUACUGUCCAACCCACAUGCCAUUAACCAUACACAGGAUUAUAGGAUAUUUUAUUAGUAGUAGUAUUAUAAUGUUUACAGGGACUGAUAUUCUAUCAUUUUUGUUUUGCUCACAUACAUUUAUUCUACUCUAUGAAUUUAAUGUGUUUAAUUGUGUGUCGCUUCUCACAAUAUGCAUAGUUUCAUAACAUGUCUCUCACAUAAGACAUGAAGUAGACCCUGACCAAUUUCACGAUGAGCUGAAAAUUAAUUUUAAUUUAAAGAAUGGUGACUAAAAUAGUUGAGCUAUAACCCUUAGGUCAAGAGAGUAAGUCAACUCCUCAUAAAGGUAAUCCUUGACACCGCAUUUCUUCUAAAAAAAUCUAAAAGUUUCGCAAAGAUAAAGUAAAUACUUGCAUUGACUUUAAGAAAUUAUGUUGUACUAUUUCUUGAAGGAAUAUGGUUUUAUUAUAAGUUGAUAAUGCAUUAAUUGUUAUAGAAAUGACUGGAGGGAACAUGAAAAAGAGAUGUUGAGUUUUAUAAAUAGCUUAAUGAAGAUUACUCCAAUAGCUAACUCUGGAAAUUAUCUGCUAUAUUUCUUUAAAGAAUAUCUGCCCUGUUUCUUUGAAAAGUAAAUAUGAUAUCUCUAUUUAAAAUCAAGUGUGUAAUUUUUGUUGUAUUACUUAGGGGAAUGUGGGACAAUUUGUUAUGGAGACUAUGAAGGCUAAUUAUAGAGUUAAUUUAGGCAUGCUCAACAUUCAUUUCAUUUUGCAAUGUAUUUAUUUUAUAUAAGUUUAUGUCGCUCCUUUGUGGUCUUUGACAUAUAUACUAGAUUUAGUGCUUAACUUUGGUGAAACCUUUGCUAUAAUAUUGCUAUUUGACAACAAUACUAUUGCCCUCAUGUUCAUAUUCUUUAUUCAUGAUGGGAGCUUUUAAGUUAUCAUGCUUUUUUACUUUUAGAAUAUUUUAUAUUUGUUUUGAUUAACUAUUAGUAUUUAAUAAUUAUUGGUUGAGUGUUGUUUUGAAAGCCAAUAAUAUUGAGUAGUUAGUGGACAUUUAUAAAUGUUUCUUGUUACACCUCUCACUUAUGUAGAAGUGUGGUUUACUCAAUUUUUAAACUAAUAUAUAUUGAGCUCAUACAUCAAAUUAAUAUUCCAUAGACAAAGAAGCCUAUGAAAAAGAAAGUUCUUUCUGUGAAGAAUGGUGCAGGUGGUACAUGCUGAAUUCAGGUACAUGUUCCAUUAAACUCAAAUUUUGAUCUUUUCUGGAAAGUUAUUAAAGGUUCGUAAUUUCAUAUGCUUCGGGAAUUUCUCAUUUAUUCCAUUGUUGUUCAUGUUCUUGCCUUUCGUUGCAUUUACACUUAGUUAUGUGUCUGAAAUGAUUUAAUUAUUUAUACUUUACAUUGUUAGCAUAGAUGCUAUAUAUAUCUAAUAUGAAACUAUUACUCUUUUAUGUGAUAAGUAAACUAAGACUAUUCUUUUUUACUUAAAAAUAUAACUUUCAUAAGAAUUUAUUAUGACUUUAAAAAUAUAAAUGUACUACAUGGAUUAUGGCUCAGUGGUCAAGAACAAUAUCCAUAAUAUACAUGAUUAUUCUUCUAUCUCUACUUAAUUUUGAAAUGUGUACCUCAAAACUCCACUCAUGCUUUUGUUCUUAUUUUAUAUUAACCAUUUUUAGUUGAAAUUAUAUGUAGAGACCUCUUUUAUAUUACCCAUUUAGAGUUGAACAUCUAUGUAGAGACUUAUUUUAUAUUAACCAAUUUGAGUUGAACAUUUAUGCAGGGACCUCUCUUAUAACAAUCUAAGUGGUUUACUCUCAAUAACUAUCAUAGUUUAAGCCUUUAAGAGACCUCUACUAAGUUCAACUUAUGUCAUAUUAUAUUGGUAUAUGAGUUUGUAGGACUAAUAGAACUCAAUUUUGCUAGUAGCCAUGGAAUGAACAUGUCCUAGUUGUAAAGUACUUUUUUAGAUCUUGUUGUGAUAUUAAGUGGAUUUGAUUUAAAAUAUUUGCUAUUGAUGGAUUAUAAUAUAUAUGCAAUGAGUAACUUAAUGUGUUAUUAGGUAUUGAAUUGAAUGUAGCUUUUUGAUAUUUGCACACCAAAAGAAUGAUUUUGUAUACAAAAAAAAUUAAAAAAUGUACUACAAUAUCAUUUUGUAAAGAGUGCUAUUAAUUAAACAUCCUAUAAUAGCACUUUAGAAAGUGCUAUCAAUCAUGUGCCAUAUAAUAGCGCUUUCUUUGAAAGUGCUAUUAAACAUGUGCCAUAUAUUAGCACUUUGUUUGAAAGUGCUAUCAAACACGUGCCCAAUAAUAGCACUUAGUUUGAAAGUGCUAUCAAAAACAAAUAAAAAUAUGUGCAAAACGUCCACUUCAAUAGCGCUUAAGGAAAAACGCUAUUAAAAAUCAGUACUUUAUUAGCACUUUUAAAGUGCUAUUAAACAAAAAACGUUUACAAUAGCGGUGCGGUUAAUAGCACUUUUAAGUGCUAUCAAAAACCAAAACAAGCGCUAUUAAAUAGCUUAUUUGGCAUCACCAGGUAAAGGACCCAUAAAAGCAUGAGUUUUUUCAGAAAGAAGGAAAGAGAUGAUUACCUGGGAAGCAUAGAUAGCACGAGAUUCUUCCAGGUUUGGCUCUGGAAUAUACUGCUGAUUCGCUACUUGUGUGGGGCGUUGAAGUUUUUGGACAGGUUGAAGAGCAUCUGUAGUUUCCGUUGAUGGGUUUUGGACGGUGGAAGACACCAUGAGUGAGUUGCUUCAAGAAAUAAAAUUGAGACCUAAAAAAGGAUUUUUUUUGCGUUCAGAAAGAUGAAAGAACGAUGAUAUGUGAAGAAGAGAGAAUCCCGAAUGAUAAAACCCUGGUAUUUAAAGGUUUAGUGAAAACUUUUCAAAUCUCUAUUUUGUUUUGAAUAAAGUCCAAUAAGACACGCGUCGGCAGCUGAUUCACUCGUCUGGCGGUCGAACAGUUAUUAGCCUUACUCCUACUAUCUAGGAGCAAUGAUUAUGAGUAAUGCUAAAUGUGGGAGCGCGCGUCUUGAAGAGACGUUUUUGAAAAUGACAAGACGUCUUUGAAAGAAAAUUCAUAAAUGAUUGGGACGUUAGUCAGAUUCUUGGAACUCAAAGAAGUGCGAGGAAAUCGAAAUCUCAUUGUGGCAAGAAACGCCUAUUUCUCUUACUUUUCCGAAACAGGCAUUUAUUGGGGGCAAUUUGUUAGCUGGAGAUUUCGAUUAUUGUAUAUGCUUUUCGAAGAUUUAAGGUUCGAAGAGAAAAUGAAUUUGGAUGGCUAUUUCUGAGAAUGUUAUUUGUGAUGAAGAUUCCUAAGUUCGAAGUUGAGUCGAGAUAGAUGAUCUUCGGGGCUUAAAUGGUUUUUCGAAAUACAAGGUUAUUGAAACUUAAAGUAUUUCGAAGCAUUCUCGCAUAGAAUACGUUGCCACGUAUCGAAUAAGAUUCGGGCGGGAGGUUUUGAAUUUCGAAAUGUUCUGUUUAAACUAACAAGGACAAAUGGUGCCCCAGGGAUUCGAAACACAUGCAUGCGGGCAACGUGGCAUUUUGUUAGUGUAGGACCGUUAGGGUCGAAUUAGUAUAAAUAAGGGUCUUAGUAUCAGGAUCCAGGGUGUUCAUUUUGUACAAAUUACUUACAAAAUCACUCAAGUAUCAAGCGUUAAGAGAAAGAGUUGUCGCUGAGAAAUGUACGUGUAACACCAACACCUUACAUAUGUUUGUAUUUUCAUUAUAGAAUCGAAGUAUUUUACAUUCCUUUACUUUUCUCGUUAAGUCUUUCCAUUCCUGCAAUUUACAUUCCUUUUUACUUUCUUGUCGAAGUUUUACUUACAUUUAUUGUCUAACCAAUUUACUUUUCGUCAUACAUUCAUUUAGUUUAUUUCGCAAAGUUAUUUUUUACAUUUACAACAUAACCUUAUAAAACAAUAAAAAACCAAGAGAACAUGAAUCAAAUAAUUCUGAAAGACAACUUUUCGACACAUGUCCUAGGAUCAAUCUAGUCGAUCCUGCGAGUAACCAAAGUAUAUUUAUAAUUUGGAAGACUAGCGGUUGUUUACUGGAAAUCACCGUAAGCAGCCGCUCAUUGUAUACUUGCUUGAUAUUUGAAAUACUAUCCGGGUUUUUUCGCUUCAAAUCGGCAAGUAUGUUUUUUGGCGCUACUUUGAUUGUCGAUAAGUCCGAAAUAACCUUCUUCUCUUCGCGGGACAACCGACACGCAAUUGGAUGCCCGUAUAGCUUGGUUUCCGAGGCAUGAUUAUGAAGUCCACAAAUGACGCUAAAACGCCACAAAUCAUCAAUCCUACAAGUCACGCGCAACCUAAACGGACACCCACACUUUCUCGAUCCCGUGUCUUCGUAUUUUAAUACCCGGUUUGUUGGUACAUACUUCUCACCUCUCUCGCAAUUCAACACGACAAAAGCUUUCUGUUUACUACUUCCAUUAUCGGACCUUAAUAUGACAAUGUCAAAUCCAAGUUUAGUAGCUUCACUUCGAACCCAAUCAAGUAAAUGUUCACGACUAGCGAAGCUCAUAUCAUUUGUAAAUUAUUGUCGAACAUCCACCGCAACGGUCAUGGUUUUAACAUCGUUAACCGACUCUUUAUCAACGUCAACCUCUUCCAGAACUUCUAAGUCAUCGGCGACAAUGUUGUCCGGAUGCACCAUACCUAACAUAUGCAAAAAUAUACUAAAGUUGUUAAAACUGUUUUUUUAUUUCUGCCAGGGCUUAUUUCAGAAGUACAUUUCCGAAAUUUGUCAGGUGAUUUAUUUCGGAAAUGAACUUCCGAACCAACGCAUAUUUCAGUCAUCUAAAUCAUCAACAAUGUAGUGUAAUAGGAGAUGAUUUGAAUGAUGUUUACCUCAAAUUGUAGCUUUCUAUGCUCCCUUUAGUAUGAUCAACCGUUUGAAAUUUGAUUUUGAGACGAAAAAAUUGAUUGAGUUUUGGAGAGGGUUUGUGAUGAAAAUGAUGAAAUAGUGAAGGAGGGAAAACUGCAUAUAUGGACAUCUUAUUUCGGAAAUACACUUCCGAAAUAAUACCUGAAACGUUUUUUUUUUUUAAUUUUCAGUGAUUUUGGAGAUGCAUCUCCGAAAACACCACAAAAAAGGUGUUUUCGGAUAUGCAUUUCCGAAUUCUGGAAAAAUCUGGAAAAAAAAAAUUAUUUCGGAAAUGCAUUUCCGAAGUAAGGAUAUUUUUGAGUUUUCGCUGAAGAUUCUCCCCAUAAUUUCGGAAAUGCAUUAUCUAGAGGAUACUUGAUGGUCAUAUAGCGGGUGGAUAGCACUCAUUUUAGUACAUUGAAUGCGAGCAUUUUCGAAGAUAUUAGCUUCAUUCAAAUUUAUCUCCAUAGUG